rnacentral:tRNA from 1 species
UGUGGUAGCUCAAGUGGUUACAGUUUCGAGUUGCAGACAAGAAGGUCAUGUGUUCAAAUCCCAGCACCACCA